UGCCCCCUGACUCAGGUAACACACACACACACCUGCCCCCCGAGUCGGGUAACACGCACCCCGUAUGGUGUAAACAUGUUGUGUGUCUGUGUUCUGGUGAGUGUGUCUUACAAGGACAAUAUUCGUCAAUACAAACCUUCACUAGAGGCACUGUGGGUUUACAAGAACACUGUGCGUGUAAAUCCCGCCUGGUUAAAGCUGGUUUUUAAAGAAUACAAUAGCUGUCAGGCUGAGUACUGACUGCCACAGUAGCUAGACAGUACAAGUGACAAAGGGGUCCGUGGCUACUUGGUUAUUUCAUGUUUACGUUUGUUGACUCGGACCAGUUUUGUGUGAGUUUGCGUAUCCAUGGAGACAUGGAAGGGUCUCGUGCACAUUCCCGCGCGCUCAGAUCUGUCACUGAGGGGAGUCUGCCAGCGAUGUUCCACGUGAGCUGAGUUUUCUGUAUUUCUUUAGCAGGUACGUGUUUUUCUUUAAUACAGCCUUUUAAAACCGUGUAUUUACAAAUAAGACGCAAGUAACGCUGACAUGUAGCUGUGUGUGUGUAUACAGAGAGAGACUAUCAAGUGUAUUUUUUAUUUUAGCUAGCUACGUGAACUAGCUAAAUGCUAACAUUAGCCACAAGCUCACUUCAGGGCACUUUAGCUUUAAAUGUCUUUUUUUUUUUUUUUGGUUUGUUUUAAAUGCUCAACAAGCAAGCAAGCCUUUAUCAAGAAUGACUGACUGACUAAAUUACGUUUCCGUUAUUUCUAGCUGCUAGUGCUAGCUAGCUAAGCUACAUAGCUAAGCCCAGGCUCUCCUUUAUCUCACCUGUCCUUUAUUUCAAGAUUAAACAGCUCACUAGACCCCGUCUGAUAAACGCUAGAGGCUAGCUAUCUCCGUCAUGCAGCAUAAAUAACUCCAAGGAUGAUAACAUUAGCUAAGUAUUCAUUCUUGGUAAAUGAUUGUUGAAUAUUAAAACCAAAGUAUUUAGUCGUGCUUGACGUGUCAGAUUUAUUUAAUUUUUUGAAAACUGCCGACAGGUGUUUGGGUAACUUGGGUCAGAGGUAUUGGGUGGCGUGUACCGAGGUGAUGUCUGAGGUAAACGUACGGCUAAUGUUAAACAUUUAGACAAUAGUAGCUAAUGUCUAACGCGUAAACUCGUGUCUUAGGGUUUUUACUAGAGUGACAAUUUAUUUUUAAACAAUUUAGCUUUUGUUGUCGAAAUGCACAUAUAUGUAAAAUAACACCAAGCUGGUGGCUUACUCGUGCUUUAUCAGGAAGGUCUGCCAGCAUUAAAAGUGUAGGUAGUGUAUUUUGAUUGCUUGGUAGGAUCACAUUUUUGAAGAUGCGUUAAUGCUAUUUUUUUCCGUUACAGCAACGUGAUCAGAAGAAAUUGAACCAUGCGUGUAGGAUCCCAGCAGCACAUUGUAAUUGAAGCAAGAUACAUUGAGUACAAAGGUCGUGAUGUAUUUGCAAAAGCAGACAUUGGAAAAGGAAGGUUUAUUCUUGAGUACAAAGGAUGGCUAAUCACAGGACAAGAUGGCACAUACAUGUACAACUUUAAACACAAUGGAGACAUUGUUUGAUGUUGAACCUGAGACUACAAAGAUGAGCGCAGUGGUUCGGAGGCCACGGACAAAGAAGGAAGUCUUUGCUGUAAUGAGAUUUCAAACACUGUACAGAAGGCGGCUUCGCAACUGGAAAUAAGAAAUGCAGGAACGCAGAAUAUACUGUUCUAGAGGGGCGACUCAUCCAAAACGUUCAUCACUCUGUUGGAAACAAAGGAUGCAAUUAUAGGAAGCACAGUUAAUUACUGUGUAUUUUUAAAAAUAUAGCUGGUUUAUUUGAGUAAAAUGCUACAGAGCCUUAUCUGGACUGUUUUUGAAAUAUACAAUAAUGUACAUUAAUUUUCUUCUCUGUUAGAAGAUUUGUAUUUUUUAGUCUGAAUGAAAUGUCUUUAAUCCUGUAAGGUUUUUCCCCAUUAUUUGUUAAUUUGUUUGCAAGUUGUUGUUUUUUUUUUAAAGUAAAUUCUCAGAUAUUUAAGAGAUUGUACAUGAAUGUUUGUUAGAGCAUGCACUUUUUAUAAUGUUUAGGUUUUUCUGGAUUCCAUGUGUCAGAUGUUCUUAUGUGAAUGUGUUGGCUAUUCAGUUUUUUUAAUUGUUAAAAUGUUGAUUUAAUCUAGGUGUGAGAGGCUUUUCUCUCACUCAUCUUGGUAUUUUUAAGAUUUUAAAAUAUUUUUCUACCAUGUGCACAAUUUUACAGUAAAGCCUUUCAACACCUACAAUGUUUGCAAUAAAACAAGCUCUGGGUUAUCCUAAUUUGUUAUUGUCAGUCAAGUGAAACAGUUCAUUCAAUAUUGCAGCUGCUAAAGCGGAGUGUCAUAAGUUUAAAAAGAACUGUUUGAAAACAGUUUUUUAAAACUUUAUAUUUGUUUGAAAAUGUUAGACUAUACUUUUAUGAAAUCUGUUUUGAGUUCCUUGUUUGUUCUUUUAUGAUUAUAGUCUCUUAAGAAUCUUACGUGUCAGUUGAUGUUUGUGUGUUGUAUAUAUGGUUUGUGCUCAUAAACCAUGUGAGUCUUGUUUAGCUCUCCAUUCUCAGGUAUAUGACAUUUCUAUGAUAAAGUAAAAACUGAUUUUAACUUGGCUGUAUCUCAAGUGGGUUUAAAGGAAUUUUUUUUGAGCAGUAGUAUAAAUGAAAAGGUGUCCCUGUAACCCAGGAUUGAAUCAGCUGUUCCCAUGAACAACAUUCACCUGGAUGUGUGUGUGUGUGUGUGUGUGUGUGUGUGUGUGUGUGUGU